rnacentral:rRNA from 1 species
GCUAGCGGCAGGCUUAACACAUGCAAGUCGAGGGGUAACAGAAGGAGCUUGCUCUUUGCUGACGACCGGCGCACGGGUGCGUAACGCGUAUACAAUCUACCUUAUACAGGAGGAUAGCCCUAAGAAAUUGGGAUUAAUACUCCAUAGUAUUUAUUUACCGCAUGGUAAAUAAAUUAAAACUCAGGUGGUAUAAGAUGAGUAUGCGUCCUAUUAGCUAGAUGGUAAGGUAACGGCUUACCAUGGCAACGAUAGGUAGGGGGCCUGAGAGGGUUAUCCCCCACACUGGUACUGAGACACGGACCAGACUCCUACGGGAGGCAGCAGUGAGGAAUAUUGGUCAAUGGAGGCAACUCUGAACCAGCCAUGCCGCGUGAAGGAAGAAUGUCCUACGGAUUGUAAACUUCUUUUAUUUGGGAAGAACUCCCUCUACGUGUAGAGGGCUGACGGUACCAAACGAAUAAGGACCGGCUAACUCCGUGCCAGCAGCCGCGGUAAUACGGAGGGUCCAAGCGUUAUCCGGAAUCAUUGGGUUUAAAGGGUUCGCAGGCGGUUUAUUAAGUCAGUGGUGAAAGCCUACAGCUCAACUGUAGAACUGCCAUUGAUACUGAUAGACUUGAAUUUAGUUGAAGUAGGCGGAAUGUGUAGUGUAGCGGUGAAAUGCUUAGAUAUUACACAGAACACCGAUAGCGAA